rnacentral:rRNA from 1 species
UACGUAGGGGGCGAGCGUUGUCCGAAUUUACUGGGCGUAAAGCGCGCGUAGGCGGUUUCUUAAGUCUGGGGUGAAAGGUUCAACGCUCAACGUGAACAGUGCCUUGGAUACUGGGAGACUUGAGUCUGGGAGGGGGCAGUGGAAUUCCUGGUGUAGCGGUGAAAUGCGUAGAUAUCAGGAGGAACACCGGUGGCGAAGGCGGCUGCCUGGCCUAAGACUGACGCUGAGGU